ACGAACGCUGGCGGCGUGCCUAACACAUGCAAGUCGAGCGAGGUACUUGGUCAGCAAGGACUGAGUACAGCGGCGCACGGGUGAGUAACACGUAGGUAACCUUACCUUCUGAGUAUGGGAUAACCUGUCGAAAGGCGGGCUAAUACCCGAUAAUGACCACGUAACUUCGGUUCCGGAUGAGGUAAAAGAUGGCCUCUAUUUAUAAGCUAUCACUAUGGAGAUGGAGCCUGCGGUACCAUCAGCUAGUUGGUAGGGUAAUGGCCUACCAAGGCUAAGACGGGUAGCUGGUCUGAGAGGACGACCAGCCACACUGGAACUGAGACACGGUCCAGACUCCUACGGGAGGCAGCAGUGGGGAAUAUUGCGCAAUGGGACGAAAGUCCUGACGCAGCAACGCCGCGUGGGUGAAUGAAGGCCUUUCGGGUCCGUAAAGCCCUGUCGAGCGGGGAAGAAAACCUCGGGAGUCGAAUAAGGUUCUCGGGACUUGACGGUACCCUCGAAGGAAGCACCGGCUAACUCACGUGCCAGCAGCCGCGGUAAUACGUGGGGGUGCGAAGCGUUGUUUCGGAAUUACUGGGCGUAAAGCGCGUGCAGGCGGUCUUAAAGGGUUAGGUGUGAAAUCCCCUCGGCUUAACCGAGGGAACGUGCGCUAAAUACUGAUGAGACUGGAGUGCAGGGAGAGGAGGGCUGGAAUUCCCAGUGUAGAGGUGAAAUUCGUAGAUAUUGGGAGGAACAUCGGCGGCGAAAGCGGACUCUCUAGGACUGCAUACUGACAGCUCGAGACGCGAAGAGCAGUGGGUAGCAAACAGGAUUAGAUACCCUGGUAGUCCAUGCCUGUAAACGAUGGGUACUAGGUGUUGCUGGAGAUUAACCCCGCAGUGCCGAAGCUAACAGCAUUAAGCUACCCGCCUGGGGAAGUACGGUCGCAAGAUUAAAACUCAAGGGAUUGACGGGGGGCCCGCACAAGCGGUGGAGCAUGUGGUUCAAUUCGACGCAACGCGAAGAACCUUACCUGGACUUGACAUCCUGGAGAUCCCCUUUGAAAGAAGGGGAGUGCUCGCAAGGAGAGCUCCAAGACAGGUGCUGCAUGGCUGUCGUCAGCUCGUGUCGUGAGAUGUUGGGUUAAGUCCCGCAACGAGCGCAACCCUUACCUUAGUUGCCAUCAUUUAGUUGGGCACUCUAGAGGACUGCCCGUGUUAACCGGGAGGAAGGUGGGGGACGACGUCAAGUCCUCAUGGCCUUUAUGCCCAGGGCCUACACACGUGCUACAAUGGAGAGUACAGAGGGUUGCAAUCUCGCAAGAGGGGAGCUAAUCCCAUAAAACCGUAUUCUAAGUUCGGACUGGAGUCUGCAACUCGACUCCACUGAAGCUGGAAUCGCUAGUAAUCGCGGAUCAGAACGCCGCGGUGAAUACGUUCCCGGGCCUUGUACAGCACCGCCCGUCACACCACGAAAGUUGUUAUACCAGAAGCCAAUGUAGCUAAACCGCAAGGGAAGGCAGCCUGUUCAAGGUAUGCUCAAUGAUUGGGGUG
rnacentral:rRNA from 1 species